CUUCUGAGGAGAACAUGAGCAGUGAAGAUUCACCUUGGAGCGAGAACAGGGACGUGCACAUGAUUAUACAGGGGCAGGGGCUCAAGUUUUUUCCAGUUGUUUAUACAAUAUGGAAAUUAAUGUGAAAUUAAAAAAACAAAGUAUUAAUAGAAAGGUAAUGACUGUCCUGUGUAGGUGACAGUGAUAUCCAAUAGGCUAGGCACUCACGAGGCUGGCUGUGGCAAGUGUAAGUGAAAGCAACACGCACUGGCAGGAAGAACAGCAAACCCCGAUGAAGGAAAAGGGUCUUUGCAGUGAUGGGCGUCACCAGAGAGGACGAUGGCCAGAGGACGCGAAUGGGACGGGGAGGCAGCGCGUUGGGGGGGGGCGCGACACAGCUCGGGCCCGCCAGUGCCCCAACGGGGCCCUAGUUAUUUUUCUGCCCCUUUGAACUGGAAAAUGGCCCACUUCCCACUGGUGAAAAGUCAUGAAAUUUGGCAGGACGACCGGGCCUGGUGAAAAAUUCGAUAUUCUGAAGUCGCCCAAAAAAUCAAAUGCAAAAUGGCUCCAUAGCGCCCCCUAAGGUGAAAAAUUCACAUGAUUGAGUGUCACGCCUGUACGCUUUGUCAAAAUGACACAAAAUUUGACACACACGUGUAUCUCAAUAAGAUCUACAAAAAAGUCAGUGCGGGCGUAUCUGUCAAAUGUACGGUUAAAGGGCUAUUUCGCAUUUUUUGCCGAUCCGCACACAUUGGAAUUUCGCUAACUCCUCCGAAGGCUUUCGUUCCACCGGCACCAAAUUUGCUCAGGCCAAUCUACACCCCAUGGCCAUUAAAAGUUGUACAAAUCAUGACGCUGCAUCCCACGGUUUACGUUCUAGGGGGCGCCAAAGAUAACCCAGAAAUCCACAUUCUUAAAAGUCGUAUAACUUUUUAUUUUUGUCCUCACUGGCCUCCAAGUUUUCUAGGAUGAUGCAAUGUCCAGCCAUCAACACAUUUGUGAAGGAAUUUUUACUCCCCAAAAGAGCGCCCCCCCAUGGCAGGAGAAAAAAGUCCAUUUUUUCUUGUCUCCUAAGGCGAAAAUUCACACUAUUGACUGUCACGCCUUUACGCUUUGUCAUAUUGACACAAAAAUUGACACACACAUGUAUCUCAAUAAGAUCUACAAAAAAGUCAGUGCGGGCGUAUCUGUCAAAUGUACGGUGAAAGGGCUAUUUCGCAUUUUUUGCCGAUCCGCACACAUUGGAAUUUCGCUAACUCCUCCGAAGGCUUUCGUUCCAAAGGCACCACAUUUGCUGAGGCCAAUCUACACCCCAUGGCCAUUAAAAGUUGUACAAAUCAUGACGCUGCACCCCACGGUUUACGUUCUAGGGGGCGCCAAAGAUAACCCAAAAAUCCACAGUCUUAAAAGUCUUAUAACUUUUUAUUUUUGUCCUCACUGGCCUCCAAGUUCUCUAGGAUGAUGCAAUGUCCAGCCAUCAACACAUUUGUGAAGGAAUUUUUACUCGCCAAAAGAGCGCCCCCCCAUGGCAGGAGAAAAAAGUCCAUUUUUUCUUGUCUCCUAAGGCGAAAAUACACAUUGUUGACUGUCACGCCUUUACGCUUUGUCAAAAUGACACAAAAUUUGACACACACAUGUAUCUCAAUAAGAUCUACAAAAAAGUCAGUGCGGGCGUAUCUGUCAAAUGUACGGUUAAAGGGUUAUUUCGCAUUUUUUGCCGAUCCGCACACAUUGGAAAUUCGCUAACUCCUCCUAAAUCUUUUGUCCCAUCGGCUUCAAAUUUGCUCAGGUCAAUCUACACCCCAUGGCCAUUCAAAGUUGUACAAAUCAUGACGCUGCACCCCACAGUUUACGUUCUAGGGGGCGCCAAAGAGGACCCAAAUAUCCACAUUUUUAAAAGUCUUAUAACUUUUUAUUUUUGUCCUCACUGGCCUCCAAGUUUUCUAGGAUGAUGCAAUGUCCAGCCAUCAACACAUUUGUGAAGGAAUUUUUUCUCCCCAAAAGAGCGCCCCCCCAUGGCAGGAGAAAAAGUCAAGUUUUUCCUGCCCAUCGCUCAAUGGCUCAAACGCAUCGCUCUCUCUGCAAAACCGAAAGGAGGAGCAACUUGCCAUUUGGAUAUAUACUAGCUGUGUUUGUGCCCUCACUCAUGGUCCAGACUUUUUUCAAAUAGGACAUGUAGUUUGUCUGCAGCGAGCGUUUUGGUAGAAACUGCGCCUCCCAUUCAUUAUAAUGGGAAAUGACCACAGACAAGUGCGCACACCAUCUUUUGACCUUGAGUGUGACGCGAUCGGGAAGGGGAGGCGGUCGCGCUGGGGGCGGCGCGACGCGGCUCGGGCCCGACAGUGCCCCACCGGGGCCCUAGUUACUUUUCCUCCUGGAUCAUCAGUGAAAAUAUCAGCUCUCAUCUUUCACCCCAUGUGCUCUGAUGCACUCAGCUCCUUUUACCGUCUUACUCACUUGUCAUGCACUUUCUCAGCUGUUGGGAUAAAUAUUUCAUCUACAAAAAUAUCAGCUCCAGAAAAAAAUAAACUUCAAAUAUUUCCGGACCAGAAGUGAAAACACUCCCACUCAUCGCAUCACUGUCGUCUAAAGCUCGACUAAGUGGGUUGAAAAAAAAAAAAAAUGUCUACAAGGAGGGCAAAGUGGGUGAAGCAAAAUGUCAUGUGGCUUCCUAAUGACAACUGUGAGUAUAACAAGUGCAUUUGAACAUCUCGAAGUGUUAGUGCUGGAGGAGUGAGAGAGAAGACACAUUUCGGAUUCGCUUUUCAUUGAACGUGUGGUAUGCAGCACAAAUUAUCUACCAUCUAUCACAUGCAUUUUUAGAUGCGUCUAUGCAGGGCUCACUGUAUAAUGCUUACAUAGUGUAAACAGACUUACAGUAAUUUACAGCAACAACACCACGGGGAGAUUUUGUCAGCAUAAAUAAACCCACAUGUGAGGCUGAGAUAAGCAACCUGAUGUAUAAAAGUAAGUACAGAUUGGAUAAGGUAGAGGCAGGCAUAAUUGAUGCGCUGCCUAAUCCGAGCAAAAGCUGCAUAAAUACAACACUGCACAGUCUCUGGUGAGGCUGUUUGUGCAUUCAACACUGAUUUUCAGUCUGGAUUGUAGGAGUUGUAUUAUGUUCCUGUGUUUUCUUUUAUUUUCCUUUUAGGUAUGAUUACAUUAUUCAAAAUAUUCUCUUUUUAAUAUUAAUUUAUACCACCAAUUAGAUUGAACUGACCAGACUAACACACGAAAAAUAUGGUCCUGGCUGUAACUUGCCAAGCCACUGGUUUCAACAAAACAACAGAUUUGACUUAUUGACUUUCUUUACUCAAUAUUUAAAGGCCCUGUGAGGAGUUUUUAGUCAGCUUUGAAAUGGACUGAUAUUCAUAGUGACGCCUCGUAUGACCCCAAACCCAUCAGUUACCGUCUGCUCAAACUUUUCAGUGCUUUUAGUGUUGUCAGCUGUCAGCAAUAAAGAACUUUUGACUCUUUUGUCCAUAUGUUGCACUGUGUAUACAGACCAACAAGGGACAGCGAGAAAACCAAUGCCUGGGGAAAUGCUGGUCAAUGGUAAUACACAUAUACAAUAAAUUGAGCUCCUUUACAUACCAGAGACAUGAACAUUUCAGGGUCUCUCACCUGGAAAUUGACCUGACUUUACUGGACACACAUACGGUUUCAGGAGGCCGAUCAUGACGCCAUAUAGACCUCAGGUAUAGUCAGGAUUAGAUGUUUACAACACUAUACUAGAUUAAAACCACUGAUCCUUAAAUGUAGUUCCUCCAGAAGUUUAAACUUACUGUACUCUUUAUUUUUCUUUCCCUCUCAAGCCUGAUACGAUUGAUCAAAGUUUAUUAAAAACAUAGAGAGACAGAUAAGUACGUACACUCUAAUGGCAGUUUUUUCUUCUUUUUUUUUUAGCUUUCCAUUAACGUGACAAGGAACUGAAUGAAUCCACAUUGUCAACAGAUCAGUGAAAUGAACAUACUAGAGAGGGGAAGUUAAUGUAAGGCCAACUCACUUUUUAGACAGUAUUCUUAUCCUGGUGUGUAUGGCUUCUGAGUUGUGCCACUAAGCGGCUCUACUUAUGUGCCGAGCUUGUCACCCAUGGGAGUAUUAUUUGAUUGAAAACGUCAGACUUUUACCUUGAAAUCUUAAUGGUGGAUUCUGUUCUCGUUCACUCGAGUAAUUUUAGGAAUAUUUCAGGAUUUCUGCACCUGUUGCAAAGGAGCAAAUGAAACAUGCAUAAUGUGUCAACAGAGAUUACUCCACCUCAAACCAUUUAAAAAUCUUAAAAUAAUGAACUGUGUAAAUAUAAGCACAAUCACUUUCAUGUACUCAGAGACUGAUUAUGAUCAUAACACCUUAUGUUGACGCUACAAAUCCAUCAGCAAACUAAAGAGGAGCUUUUCAAACUGAGACAUGAUCACUCAGUGUGCUAGCUAAGUGCAGCUGCCAGUGCCAAUGACAUUUUACAUCAAACCCAUCAUAUGUAAGCAACGAACCAUGGAAGCAUCAAAUGAGUUGUGUUAAACGAUGCACAUCAAUUACAGCCUCUAGUUAUUAACCGACUGUAAAUAUUUUCUCGAUUAUUGUCCUUUGGAUAAACAAAGAGGGAUUCUCUGAGUAAGUGGGACAGCUGCCAGAAUAUCUUCUGCAGAGGUGAUCAAGAGGAGUGGGUUGCUUCACUAGAAUAGCCUUGUAUGACACUUGGGAAAAAAAAUAUGUAUUGUGGAUAUGACUGAUGCCAACAUAAAGCAAGACAUAUUUCAUCUUGAUUUCCUUUAUUAUGGUGAACAGUGCCUGCUUUUAUGCUGUGGAGUCAUUACACAUGUUAUUCACCAUUAAGCGCAUCUCAUGCUAAUGAGAUUCAAGCGUAUAGCUGUUUAUAUAAUGCCUCAGUGGAUAUGGAUCUAUGUUACAACCUUGAAAAAGAGAGACCGGAUGAUGAUCACAUGAAACAUUAAUGAUGACAAUGUCUGAAAUGGAGCGUUGCUUUAAUUAAGAAUGUAUGCACAAACAAAAUAGCUGUAUGCUUUGUCCGUUUGUGUCUCUGAGUUGUGUAUCUACAAACUCUGGAUCAAAAAUUUAAAAUAUUUUGCUUGGAGCUGGACUUUGCAAUGAGAAAUGUGUUAGUUCCUGUUGUGCUCUGCUUGUUAUUCAAGUAAUAUUGACACAUCUUUUAAAAGAAAACAGGGUUUAGUCAAAUGUGGGCAGAAUGCAAUGUCACAUUAGAAGUAAUCUUAAACAUAUCUGCAUGCAGAUCUGCAAAACAAACAAAAAAACAAAAAACAAACAAACAAAAAAACCCUCUUAGAGCAAUCUAUACUCCUUUUAAUCUGUGUGAUAAUACCUUGUAGACUUAACUCAUUCAGUGAAAGGUUCAUUUAUGCAAUUUUUACCCAGUGCCACCAUUGACCACAAUAGAAAUUUCCAUGUCUUUAAGGACCCACAGAACAUCAUGCGCUUGGACUAGAAUUAAGUGCAAUAUCUCAAAAGAAAGGGGUGAUUCUCUUUCACCAAAAAAACGUAAGUCUCUAACCCACUCCUGUGCUGAGUUAUUGCCUGCUCAAUGCAGCAUGGUCAUAUCAUCUUUGCCGAUCUGGAAAAAGAAACUCUGGAAAAACACAUUUUACGAAGGAGAGACUUUCAAGAAACUCUCUGUCUAUUUCAUUUCACUUCAAACUGCUUUACCAGUUGCAUCAAGGUCCUCCCUCCUCGGACACCACUCCUCAUCACUCUUGAGAUCUGAUUGUGAUAGGUCACUUUGGCUCUCAACAACCUGACGCCGGGACGUAAACCACAUGGAUUGCUCGCACUCUCCUCGCCAGGACUGUCGCUGAAUUCCCGCUGAGUCUCAUUCACCAGUACCGGCACUGGCGGCACGCCAGAAAUUUUUUUUCUUUGAUUGUCUGCUGACGAUGUGAAGAUCCGGUACAGAGAUCUCCACUGGAUCCAGAGAUGGUAGCACCUCGCCCUCGCACGAUGCGCUGAGACCGUGUGCUCAUGGCUAAUGACAUUUUCCUACUCUCCCCAUAGAGAAAAAAUACUCCACUGCUAGGCUAAGGGGCAUACUUGGUGGCACACCUCUCACUGGCGAGUACUUGUUUUUGUUAUUGUAACAUGGUUAUGAUGAAUUUGUCGGCUUUUCUGCAUUCAAAACAACCCCAAACUUAGUCCCAUGUUGGAGAGGAGCGCCCUCUAGCGGAAAACAAAAAAUAAAAAACUGAAAACUCCAUCAAAAUCAGUCAAUGGCACUCAGGGUAGAUAAAAAAAAUCUGUCCAAAUCAGUCAUUGGCACUGAAUGAGUUAAGACCUGGUAAUUUCAAACAAGCCCCAGAGAAAGGUCAAUGUCCAAUUAACUAUGAAGCUGAGACUCGUCAAAACAGAAGAUGUUUCAAUUUGAAAGAAUAUGAGGUAUGAGAUUUUUUAUUAGGCUCUAUCGGUGAACUGGGAGAGCUGGAGUGUUAUAACAGUUUGGCUUUAUAACAGUUCAAAAAAAAGGAGAUCAAUAAAUCAUACUAGUAAUACACACCACAGAGAGUGUAAAGCAAAUACAGAGCUAAGACCACAUGGGGGGCAUUGAAAACAUCUGCAAAAAAAGUGCUUGCGUGUUCUUAUUAUCCAUUAUCAUUCUCAUUAUCAGCUCAGCAGGAAGCAUCGCCAGUGAACUGAAGUGAUAGAGUAAAAAAAUAAAUAAAUAAUACCCACACACACUUUACUGUUGGAUUCAAGUCAUUCUGUUUUUUUUUUCUGCACACACACUUACUUAGGGGAGUAAUCUAUAUAUUGAAAAAAAAAAAUGCAACGCUUCAUUUAACAUUAAGAGACAUAUACAUUGGACGUUAUAUGAGUCAUGUAAGCAGUGCUAUAACAGCCCUAAGCAAAAAGAGGCUGUGAUAUUCAGCAUGUGCAGGCCUUUUUAUUUCAAGCUGGCUGAGUUUGGGGCCGCUGGGGCAGGAAGCUCAGUACAGUCUGAAGUCUGAUGGCAGUCGGCACAAAAAGAGCGCCUGAAGUGCUCUGAGCAGCAGCCGGGGAAGGAGGUGCUUUGUAGCUGGAUCAGCACCCACAGCGGGGGGGCGGCAGGUUUGUUAUGUGGUGUGAAACAAGUGGUCCUGGAUUCAGCAGCGAUGACACACACUCCCUCCUGUGAACCUCUUGGCAGACUUAAAAGAACACACACAAAACACCACUGGCAUAUCUGACAUCAGCAUAUCGGCCUGACCGGGCAGGAAGCAGGGGUCUUACUGAGAGAUGGACUCUACAUCCAAAUGUUUUUUAAGGGGAAACAGAUUCUCUGAGCCUCUUUUGAGCAGGCUCUGGUUUUCUCUCACACUGUGUAGCUUUAAAAAUACAACUCAGGACGGGACAUCAGGGUCCUGCUAACUCUGUUGGGGUCCUAAUUUGCUGCAAUAACCUGCUCACUACAGACCCUUUUAAACAGUGUGAGGCGCAUGUGUACAUAUUGGUAGUGGAAAUUCAGAGGAGUGCAAUAGUUUCCAAAAUGAUGCAAGAAGAAGACUGUAAUAUAAGAGUAAUGCUCAUUCUGUGUUUUUGGCUUACUAACUAGUAAAGUUAGGCUACUUGUUUGGUGAUGCAGUUAACAUGGUUUCUGCUUCUGUUAUCCAAUAUCCUAACUUUAACACAUGACUUACCUCUCUAACUCAAACCUUAAUUCUAUACCAUCAUGAUUUAGUCAUAACAUGGGCUGAAGCCAUCUUUUUUAUAAUCACACAGUGAAAAAUUGGGUCCACUGCUGGUGUUUUGGUGUAAAAUGUGACAUUCUGGUGACUUCCAGCCGAGUACGAAUCUUGCAAAUGCCUUUUUUUCACAACUCAACAAUUUGAUGCUGUUAAGACUUGUGAUUCAGUGGUUAAAGCUUGCUGACUCAUCUUUCUGAACGGCUGGCUGUAACAGGGUCAAUGCAUUUUUUCUUACUGAGUUUAUUUUACAGUGCAGCUGGAUUUUCUCUACAGUUCAUUAAGGGGCAAAUUCACUGAGCACAUCGAUUACACCCAGUGUCUGCUAUCUCACUAUUUGUUUCACUGUCCAAUUCAAAAAAUCACAUUGGGCUUUUCAUGAUCAGGUGCAAACUCAUUACAAAACCCAUUUUGUAGUUUGCUCGUGUUGGGUCAACAUUGAUAUUUAUACGCAGGAGACACUCUGCAAUUGGAUGGUCACAUCACGGAAGACGACAGGCAUUAAUGAGAGCCUACCUCAAUGUUUUUUCGAGGCGCGCUUCCUGUGAUUGGUGCGGAUCGGGUUCACACCAGAAGUAAAACGCUCUAGAGUUCACUUGCUAGCGGCCCAAGACCACCCCUACCAGGCUGACCUGAGAGCGGUUGACUGGUCAACACCAGAGUUCGAGGCCUCUGGUGUAAGGCUGGUGUGAACGUGACCUUACAGUAGAUAAUGAGCUGUGUGGGGAGAAGCCUUUUAACAGACAACUGCUUUUGGAGUUAGACACUGUAUUUUUUGUCUUAAUUGCAUGGGUUUAAAUGGCAUAGAAGCUGUGCAAACUUUUUGUGAACCAGGCUCCAACUAUGUGUAAAAAAUUUGAAAUAUUUCCCUGUACAGAACAUAUUCUCAUUUUCAUCUACAUCACAAGCAUCAAUCAUAAAACUAGGUAAUUCCCAUUUAACAAAAAUUAUAAGGCAAAAUGUUUUAAUUUUUAUUUGAUAAGCAUUUACAAAAAUAUGUUUUCAAAUAAAGUGCUACAGUGUUUUCUCAUAAAAACAUGUUACCUAUCAAACACAGUGAAGCCUCUGUUAUCAUAAUGUAGGUGUUUUACUUUUCAGUAUUAGGUGUAUUUAUUGUAUGAGGCAUGUACCUCUCAAUUGUUUCAAAGGGUACAAAAGAAAUGCGUGAAAACUCAAUCCAGCCUUUCAAUAAUAGAUCUUAAUGGAAAACUGUGACUGUUAUAAUGAAAUUGCAUGCAUGUAUUAGUGCAUGUAAUUUCAGAGUGAUUCAAAACAGGGUCUGACCUUUGAGUGCUUUAGUAGAAAGACAAAGUGAUUCCAGGAAACCUUUUAUUUCACCCAUCAGUGUCACAAACACUGAAAACAAGAUGAACUGAUGGAGUAAAAAUGUUUUCAAUGACAGACAGUCUAACCAGUUGGUCAGACGAUUGCAGCAAAUCCAGCCUUAACCAAUGAUAGAAACAGAUGCACGCAGCUUAAUUAGGAGGGAAAAAGCCCACAAAGGAAUGAAGAGUCUGCAGCAGAUAAUCUGUGGGGACCUUUGACAGAUAGUAGCUUUCAAGCUUCUUACAAACUUCUUUAAUUUUGUGUUGGCUCAGAGAUCGCAUUAAAAUAAUGGAUGGGAUGGGUGGUAGUUUUCAAGCAAAACAGCAAAAACAUUAAAAUUUUUGAAUUCUGGUUUGACAAACUUUCCUUUGAGUGGUACAGCUGCAGCUCAAGAAAGACGCCUUCAUUAUCGAAUUGUCCACGCUCGGCCCAGAGAUGGUCUGUGAAAGAUUUGCAUCUGUAUCCUUAACGUUCUGUGUUUUCUUUCAGGAGAGGCUGUUGGUUGAAUUCAGAAUAGAGCCGUGUGUGUUUUAUUAUGAAUAUCAGCCUUCAUCUGCUCCUGAAGAAAUCACUAGGAUUAUUUUAAAUGAAACAUUUCUCCAGAGAGUCUAGAUGGCGUUUUCUGUCAUUUUCACAAACUCCUGAGUUGAUAGAUCUCCCAACAACAACACAAAAGUUUUCAGGCUCUUUUUAGCAUGCUGUGUUGUUGCAGCACUAAUCAAUGAAGCAGUCUGAGCUGGGUGAUCAUUUUUUUAUGCUCAUCCAGAGAAAAUCCACUGCCAAUCUAACAUUCAAUAUUUUGUCUUAAUAAAAUAUGGGAUUUUCAGUCAAUACCUGAAUCCAGGUGCAUUUCUAGUAGUCAGGCAGACUUCCAAAUGUAUAAUUUCUGCAUAUUUCCUUAUUCUCUUGAUUUUUUAACGCUCUACACAACACGACGGGUCAGGUCCUCCAAUGUGAAUGCAUCAAUUCCUAUUCCCUUUUUGUGGUUUUAUUAUUCACAUUAUUCCUCAUUUGGAAUAAUGUCUGCCAAACCACAACCACCUUUGCUGCCCAAGGCUUACUGUACAACCUUUAAUGGUUAGAGCAGUAAAAUAGCUUCAAGAUCAUUUCAGCUAUAAAUGGAUGACUUUGAAUGUACUGUACAGUAUAUCAUCUUUGGGGAAAUUAACACUACAAGUUUUAAUUACCCUGUCAAUUUCAUUCAUUCCAACAGGGAACCAAUUAAUACAUGUAAUUGUGCUUGUAAAGCUUCUCAUUAAAAUAAUUAAACAAAAUUUUAACACUGUGCUUGUGUGAAGCGAGUGAGUGGGCUCUUCAUGUGUGCUGCAGUUGUAGCUGUGAUUUGACAAAAAUAUGUGAUUAGUUAUUGAAGAGGUGAUGACGAGAAGAUUAUCAGGUGUUUACUUGGACACUCAAGUAGAAGACAGAAAAAAGGAAAAAAAAAACAUCAAUCUUUUAGCUCUCUGUGUGAGGCCUGAGAUAUCUGUCAGUUUGACAUGUUUGAAGAGGAACUGAUGGGAAACUUGUUGCUGCCAUUGAGUCAGGAAACAAAGUUAGAUCAGUGUUGUGUAACAGCAGGAAAAGGUGAUUACUUUUUUUUUUAAAUUAAGCUUGGAAAAUGUUUUUUUUAGACUAUGAAACCUGCCAUUUAAAAUGUGAUAGCUUAGUGCAUCAGGUGUUUUAUUAUUUAAAGGUCUGUCUCAGGCAGCACUGGACUUCAGAUGAUGCGAGGUCUGCGGGUGAACACACUCCUGGCAGUUUUGAAUUGAGCUGACAUGAUGAUUUCAAGGAGUUUUCUGUCAGUACAUGACUGGAACCAAAGAUACAAAAUACAGUAUUUAUAUCUACCUCUAUCUGUGAUCCUGCCAAGCAGUCCAGCUUAUCUGUUCAUGCUUACACAGACGAUUCAGAUCCUCAUCAUCUCAUCUCACUGUUUUUGAGCAGAGAUGCUUCCAAAUCAAGUCCUUGUCAGAUCCCCAGGCUGUGAUAUUCAAGUCAAGUCAUUGUUGUUUAUUACCACUGAUUCACACUAAACUACUCACUUAUUCACACUGAUUGUGUGAGACCUUUCAGACGUGUAGAAAACACAUUUCAGCUGUUAAUGUUUGAUUGGUUCUGUUGUUGUGUUGGAAGAAUCAGAAUAAAAAUCAAAUUAAAGAGCUGUAAGUCUCAUGUAAAUUUGCUCUAUGGCUGUCCAAUCAGGGAGUUAGACUUCUAGUUUCCACUGCAGUGAGAUGACUGCAGGUGACGAAUGUAAGAAAGUACCUGCAACUAUAUCUUGACUUGUACUGCUCUGCUCACCAGACAUGGUAGAAAGAGGUUCUCCAAAGUUACUGGCCACUCAAAUUCUUCACCGGCUUCAAUUUUUUUUUUUUGUUGGAAAAUCUGAUUUUAUUUAAUAAAAAAUGGCUUCAGUGUGCUCGAACUUACUUCAACUAGAUUUAACACUUUUUAGUAAAUGAAAAUUGUUAACAUCCAAAUUAAGACUCAAGUCCAAACUCAGAUUUUUAACACUGAAGGGCAUUUUGAGUGAUUUAUUUAUUUAUUUAUUUUUGGAUGACACCGACUAAGAAAACUGAAAUAUUGACAUUUUCUUCUUCCUUUCAGCACCUCUUUGGACAUCUAGCCAGGAACUUUGGAGAAAAAAGACAUCAGAGGUAAGCAUGAGUCGGUCCUCACUUAAAACUGUCUCAAUUGUUUGGUUAUAUACAGAAACUAACCAAAAAUAAACCAUUUUAUCAGUAUAAGUAUGAAUAAAUGAAUCAAGUUAUUGUUAAACAGUCCAAAAAUCAGCUUAUUUAAAAAGCAGCAACACAGGCUGAAAUGAAAUUUAAUCAAACCAUUUAAUUGAGUCACCACACCACUUACAGAUUUUUUAUGUAGUAUUACUACAAAAACAUUUUUAAAUAAAGUUAUUAAAAAACAUAUGAUGAGUGAAAUGAGGAUUAACAUUUUUGUGCUAAUGAAAAAAAUCCAUUGUUUCUUUUUUAUAUAUGAAACACUAGUCGACGUUAAAAAGCAGCAAAAUUGUCUGACAGUUGUUUCUAUGGAGCCGCUUAUUUAUCUGAACAAUGAUUAGAGAAAAGUAAUUAGAACGACAUAGAUUGAAGCUCCUCAUUUCAAAUAUACCUCAUAAAUCCUGUCACAUGUCCACCCCUGCUCUUACAUGCUGUGUGCUUUAUUAAUUUGUCCAUCACAAUAAGUCACAUUAUUUGUUCCCGUCUCAUAAUGAGAUAAAUGUAAAAAUCAUUUUCAGCUGAUUGAUGAGCUGAUCUCUCGGUCUGCUUUCUUGAUGGAGUUUAUUCAUGACACUGUCUCCUGGCUCCAGGAGUCCUUGGUAGCCUAUACCUACCCAGUGAAAUACCCUUAUUAUUAGAUAGUUUAAGGAGAAAAAGUCAGCAUGACCAUGGAUGUUCCAGCUUUUUCACUCCUCCUUCAGGAAGUCAUUUUGAGCAGAAAAAUGGAGAAAUGUAGCAGCAGUGAAAAAGAAGCGUGGGAAAGGAAAGACAAUCAGAUAUAAUGUAUUUUAUACUCUCUACCCCCUCACUAACCAUGGAUACUAGUUAUAUGAGGCCGCCUUAUUGUCACAAAGAAUGCAUCAAUGAUACACAUAAUUAGUCUUUUAUUGUUUGAACUCUCUACAUUUAAUCAAUCCUCACAUUAGUUCAACACAAGCAGAUAGAAAUUAAUGAAUGAAUGCCACUAAUGAGUUGUUACUUUAAAGCUAAAGAAGCAAAACACCUUGCUAGUUAUUAAUAAGUGAAGGUAGCAUAUGUGGCAUUUUAAGCUAUAUCAAAGUAGAAGAUAGCCAGAGUGCUACGUUAAGAGCAGCAACCUCUACUUUACUUGAAGACAAAAGCUGAAUCUAGCAAACUUUGGUAGAAGUGACGGAGCUUGUUCACUGAAAUUCCACGAGGGCAGCAUUACAUGGGGACCUCCUGUGAAUCGUGAUUACCUCCUGAUGUCAGUGUUCGGCAGAUAGAUCAAUAAAUACUUUAUUUAUCCUGAAAAGACAGUUUCUCGAUCAUCAUCAAUAAAUCAAUUCAUAAAAUGGUCCAUAGAGUGCAGGAAAUAAUCAAAAUAAAGAAUUUAAGUAAUAUGUAAUAAAUAGUAAAUGAUAAACGAGAAUGACAAAAAAUAGCUGAUGAUGCUGAGGUUAAAGGUUAAGGCAGGAAAAAGCUGUGGCGCAUCGGCACAGUCAGUAACGAAGUCUUUGGAUUGAAAAAGCUGAAAAUUUGGAGACAUAUUAUGUAAACUUGAUAACUCCAUGUCAUAUAGAUUUCAUAAGAUUAAACCCAAGAAAACAGUUUGUAUUUGGCAAACUCCUAACUUUUUCUUCUCUGUGAUCAGCAGUCAGAGAUACUUAAUCCUGUCUGUGUGAGUGAUAUGGUUGCCAAGCAACAAUAAAUAAAUGGCUGCUUUCUUUAAUUUGUACAGAGAAAUGACAUAGCGCUCCUUGUUUUUUGUAAAAUAAAAUAAAAAGGUUGCAUACAAAGGCCAUUAAUCCAUUUGUAGGACAGAUACUAUUCUGCAGUCUUAACUCACGCUGCAAAGCAUGCCAACCAUCCUCUCACUCUUCAACAUCUGGAUCUUUUGAGGGCUUCUAUUUUGCCUUUUCUGCAAAAGCGUCUCUGUAAGAGUUUACAGUAGGAUGUUCUUUCUGCUGGUCACACUGACUGGUAACUUUAGAAAAACACAAGAAAAUAACACUUUAAUCCAACAAAAUAAACAUUUUCUUUUAUUAUCAUUCCGCCAAACAAAUGAAUACAUACACACAUCUUCAAUUUACAUUAUUGUUAUAAUUUUUAAAGAAAAAAAGAGGCUGAAAAAAAUCUGUAGACACUUGCUUGAAACAAAAUCACCACCCCAAACGACCACGAUUAGAUUCAGCCUGGAUUAAAAUGAUCAGAGCACCCCUGUGUGUUAUUCAUGGAUGUGGUUGAUUUGCACAGGAUUGAAAACAGACAUCAUUAGUAAUUAGUACAAAUGAUCAGCAGUCCCUAAGUAGUACCACUGCCAUGAGCGAGGGGCUUAAGACACCACUGUGACAAAGAACAGAGAAAGAGUGAGGAACAAAUUAGAAGUCUACAAAUGUAGAAAUUAGCUCUUUAAUAACAAAGAGGAAAUAUAAAACCUGGGCUGCUGAAUGGUACAUUUUCUUAAUCACAAUUAAUUUGAUGAACUGCUACUGUUAAUGGUGACUGAUCACAUUUUUAAUCAUGUGUUUAAAAUUCCAUUACACACAUACAGAGCAUUUUAAUUUGACUUGUCAGCUGUGUUGGAGUGUGUAAAGUUAAACAUGCCAUUCAAGAGUGUGGUGGUGUCGUUUUCAAUCAAGACAGCAGCAGACAGAUGCUGCACUAUGUAUGGUGCGCUGAAAAGAAAUGCCCUGACCCGGAUUUGAAC